GGAGGAGCACAUACAGCAUAGCACACAAAUACACAUUACAGAACAAGCUAGCAUGCUCUAAUACACUUGAAUCAGUGACAUUCAAAUAAACACAUCAAAGACUAAGUAAACCACAACAAACACACUCAAAUCGCUAUCCAAACUUGAUCUGCUACUCUCAAAGCGAAAAAAUAAUCUUAAAAUUUUUAUGUCGCUUUUAGCCUAGCCGACUCCGCCGGUACCGCAAAUCAACUGCAUCUGCUUCAAGGCUUUCAUUAGGUGCUCAUGAGACACCACCACAAGGUCAGAGAGAAGCAAAGGGCAAGCCAUAGGAGUGAUAUGAAGUGCGCAGCGAAACAAGGCCAAGGAGGAGGCGGCGGCCCGCGGGCG
rnacentral:lncRNA from 1 species